rnacentral:rRNA from 1 species
AUGGCGGUGAAGGGGAAGGGCAAGCAGAUCGCCACCGACGACCCGGGCUCCUCCUCCGGCUCCAAGCGGCGCGGCGCUGGCCGCGGCGGCGCGGGCCCCUCGUCCUCCUCCGCCAAGCGCCGCCGCGGCCGCUCCGGCGUCCUCCAGUUCGUCGACGACGCCGCCGGCGUCGACGACGAGUACGAGGAGGACGAGGAGGAGGAAGAGGAGGAGGAGGCGGAGGAGUUGCAGGACGACCUCGACGACGGUUUCUUCACUGCGGGGAGGACAAAAGGUGUAAGAGUUGAAAGGUCACACCCUCUUCCAUUUCUUGGAAAUGUAAAGGAAGAGGAGCUGAGCGGUGAUGAACUUGAGCAAUUUAUCAAUGACCGUUACUCUAAUCGUGUGAGAUAUGCCGGUUAUGGUGGCUCUACUGAACAAUAUGAUGAUGAUGAGUCUACCAUGGAUGGUGUGAAAGAUCCUAUCAUCUGGAGGGUCAAAUGCAUGAUUGGGCGGGAGCGCCAAAUGGCUUUCUGCUUCAUGCAGAAGUUUCUUCAUCUGCAAAAGUUCGGUACCAAAGUGCCAAUUAUCUCAGCAUUCUCACUUGAUCAUGUGAGAGGAUCUGUUUUUGUUGAAGCUGAGAAGGCUUGUGACGUUACUGAGGCAUGCAAAGGAUUUUGCGAUGUUUAUGUAAACCGAACUAGUCCUGUCCCUGUAGCUGAAGUUCGUAGCUUGCUAUCAACUCGUGCAAAACCAUUUGAAGUCUCUCCAGGUACAUGGGUGCGCAUGAAAAGUGGAAACUACAAAGGAGAUCUAGCACAGGUCGUCGGUGCGGAUGAUGGGCGGAAAAAAGUGCUGAUAAAGCUUAUACCAAGAGUUGAUCUCCAUGCUAUUUCAAAAAAAUUCGGUGGUGGUAUUCCCCUAAAAGGUGCAGCAGUUCCUGCGCCACGCCUAAUCAGCUCGCAGGAGCUAGAGUUCUUUGGACCUCAUAUCGAAAGUAAGCGUGAUCGUCAGACUGGUGAUGUUUUUGAAGUGCUUGAUGGUCUGAUGUUCAAAGAUGGUUUCCUGUAUAAGAGAGUUGCACUUAGUUCUUUGAUUUACUGGGGGAUACAACCAACGGAUACCGAGAUUCUCAAGUUCUCUUCUAGCCCAAGCAUUAAAAGUUCUGCUGAUGACAUGGAUUGGGUCUCCGGCAUCUAUGGUCAUAAUAAGAAAAGGAAUGUGCCCAGAGAAUCAGAUAUGAAGAAACCAGCAUCUUCUAAAGGCAAAAGCUCCAAGGCAUCAAAUCUUAAAGGUUCCACUUCUACUGAAAACUGUGAUGAUGAUGAAGAUGAUGCUCAAUUCAAUCUCCAUGAUCUUGUAACCUUUGGCCGAAAAGAUUUUGGAGUGAUUAUUGCUGUUGAGAAAGAUGGUUUUAAGAUUUUAAAAGGUGGCCCUGAAGGAUCUGCUGUGACAGUUAGAAAGCAAGAUAUUAAGAAAGGAGUCGUAGACAAAAUGUUUACAGCUGUUGACCAUCAGAACAAGUCAAUAUCCAUGAAUGACACUGUUAAAGUUCUGGAAGGACCAGUUCAGGGCAAGCAAGGAGUUGUUAAGCACUUGUAUAUGGGAAUACUUUUUAUAUAUGAUGAAAGUGAAAGUGAGAACAAUGGAUUUUUCUGUGCUCAGUGUGGGUCAUGUGAAAAUGUCAAGAAAAGGAGGGACGUGACAAAUUCGGAGGACAACCCUAUUCCCAUGUUCUCGGAUUCAGCUUUCAUAUCAUCCGAGCAAAAUGAACAACGAAAUAAUGAAAGGCCUUACAGGGCACCCAGAGAACAACUCUUCCAAAUCGGAGAGAUGCUGCGUUUUCGAAGGGGUCCUUUGAAGGGUUAUCUCUGCCGUGUAGUUCGGAUAUUUAGAAAUGAUGUAACUGUUAAGCUAGAUUCUCUACUGAAGAUUGUUACAGUGCAAGCAGAGUUUCUUUCAGUCCCAACUAAAAGAGGGGAUAACUCGUCCAAUGCUCCAUCUGGUAAUUUUGGAACUCAGGAUACACCAUUCACCGAAGCUGCUAAAACCUCAUGGGACAAUGGAUUUACAUCUCUUGGCAGUGAUUCUUGGCAACCUUUUUCAAGUUCUGCGUUACCAGCCCAGAAUGCAGAUGGAGAAACAGAAGCUGAUCCCUGGUCUAAGAAACCAAUAUCUUCUGCUGAUGGUGAUUCUGAUCCAUGGGGUAACAAAACAACAUCUGCAGCUGUUGAUAUAUGGAACAACAGCACUACACAAAAGGAAAGCUCCACCGACAAUGCCUGGGGUAAAGAAGCUGGAGGUGGUGGAUUUGAUGCUGGUGGCAGCUCUUGGGGUGGAGGAGCAGUCAAGGAUAGUGAAAAGAGUGGCAACUGGGGUGAGGCAUGCAAUCAGGUGGACACGGCAACUGGUGGUGAUACAGAUCCUUGGGGCAGUAAGGUCAAAGAAGUAGUUACGAAAGAAGCAGAUAGCUGGGAGAAGUCAUCAUGGUCACCAGAGAAGAAGUUGGAGGGUGAUGGUCAAGGAUGGGGCCAACCUUUCGGCAAGUCAAACCAAGAUCAAGAAAAAGGCACAGUUCCGAAAGACGCAGACAAGGGUGGGUCUUGGGAUACCACUGUUGCUAUUUGUGUCGGCUCAGAUGAUAAUGAUGCCUGGGCUAAAUCUGCUACUUUGCCUGUUGUUCAAGAUGAUGCCUGGGGGAAGUCAAAAGAGUCAGGCCAAAACAGUGGCUCUGGAGGUUGGGAUACUGUUGCUGUGGGCCAAGGACAAGAUGAAGCAUGGGGCAAUCCAAAAGAUUCAGGUGCCAAGUCUGAAGAAACAAAUAAUGGAAGUGGGAACUGGAACAAAGCUGGCUCAUCAGACCAAGUUGGUGGCAGUGAUUGGGGUAAACCGAAAUUUUUUGGCGGUGCUGGUUCAUCAAGCUGGAACAAGGGAGAGGCAGCUGAGGGGGAUAAUCAGAAUAGCACCUGGAGCAGACCUUCUGGAAACUUUGAAGGUGGCCGUGGGUUCGGGCGAGGACGUGGGAGAGGCCGGGGCCGGGAAUCUUGGGAUUCUGGUGACAGAAAUGACCAAGAAAGCCGAAAGGGCUCAUGGCAUAAUGACAGUUCUGCAAAGCCCUCUUGGGGGUCUGAUACACAGGUAGGUAAUGAAGGUGGAGAUUCUGGUGGAUACCGGGGGAGGGGAAGAGGGAGGGGCCAGUAUGGAGGACGAGGGGGAGGAAGAGACAACGGUUGGAGAAAUGGAGAUCGAGGUAGUUCUGAGUUUGGAAAGGAAAGGAGUAGUGAUACACUAAACUGGGGAAACAGUCAGCCUUGGAGUGCCAAUGAAGGCACCAAGCCAUGUGAUGAAAAUCAGACUCCCACUUGGAACUCCUCGGAGGAUAAAAAACUCUCUGGAGGCGAGCAAGGUGAUCCUUGGGCAAGCAAGGUGACUGCUAAAGGCCAAGAACAACAAACUGAUGCUUGGUCAAGCAAGGCUGCAGGUGCUGAGAACAAUGAUGGGUGGAAUACGAAGGCGAAAGAGUCUUCCUGUAACACUGGGGCAAAAUGGGAGGAUGCUGCAUCAGGUGAAAAACAACAAGGUGAUCCGUGGUCAAACAAGACCAGUUCUACUACUAAAGGCAAAGAGCAAGAAACUGAUCCAUGGGCAAGCAAGGUGUCUUCUACUGCAGCAGAGGAAAAAGCUGACCCCUGGAGUACUAAAGGGGGCAAUGGGAAUGAUGGGGGUUGGAACAAUGCUGGCUCAUCUUCUUGGGGCAAACCAAGUUCCUCAAGUGGAGAUCAAGAACCUGCUUGGAACAAGCCAAAAUAUGGUGAUGAUAAUGCUGGAUAUGGUAGGGGUGGAUUUGGACGUGGGAAUCGUGGCAGAGGUAGGGGAAGGUUUGGGGACAGUGGAUCUUCAUGGAAUGGAGGAGGCAACACAAAUGAUGGAUCAGGUGGAGGAAGGUCUGAAGAUCAGUGGAACAGUAGGGAUUCCGAUGGUGGCAGAGGAAGGGGUAGAGGCCGCUUUGGUCGAGGUGAUCGCAAUCAAGGCAACAACUUUGGGUCAGGAGAUGGGGAUGGUGUCAGUUGGGGCUCUGGCAGGGGAAACAGAGGCCGUGGUGGUGGUUACAGAAACAAUGGAAAUGACAACAAUGAGGGAAGGGCCUCCAGUCAAGACCGUGGUGGUGGCUGGUCUCACUCUUCUGCUUGGAAUGCUGAUAAAAAGGGAAGCACUGAAGGGGAUCAAUCUUUCUCAAAGGGCAAGUCCAGCUGGGGGAGUGACAACAACGAUAGCUGGGGAGCUCCAAAACCAUCUGGUGGAGAUGAUCAGGCAGGAAAGAAGGACGGAAACAACUCCUGGAGUCAAAACAAGCCAUCCUCUGGCGAUGGAUCCUCUAUCCUGGGUCAGUGGGCUGCUCCUGCUGGCGGCACUACAGCUGGUAGAGGAGCUUCUGGCAAUGGAUCCUCUAUCCUGGGUCAGUGGGGUGCUCCUCCUGGCAACACUACUGCUGGUACUGGAGGAUCCGCAGGCGAAGGAGGAGGAUCAUGGGGAAAGAGCAAUGAAGAUAGCUGGAAUUCGUCAAAAGGAACCGGAGGCUCAGAAGGUGGUUCAAAGAAGGAAGGAUCCUGGGACAAGGCCGAAGGGAGCGGGAGCCAAGGUGGCGGUGGCGGCAGUUCCUGGGACAAGGCGGCCAGUGGCGGAUGGGACAGCAACAAGGGCGGGGAUGCCGGCAAUGGUGGUGGCAGUGGGUGGUAA